UGAGGCAGGAGAAUUGCUUGAACCCAGGAGGUGGAGGUUGCAGUGAGCCGAGAUCGUGCCACUGCACUCCAGCCUGGGUGACAGAGAGAGACUC
rnacentral:miRNA from 1 species